UACGUAGGCAGCAAGCGUUGUUCGGAGUUACUGGGCGUAAAGGGUGUGUAGGCGGUUGUUUAAGGUUGGUGUGAAAUCUCCCGGCUCAACUGGGAGGGUGCGCCGAAUACUGAAUGACUAGAGUGCGGGAGAGGAAAGUGGAAUUCCUGGUGUAGCGGUGAAAUGCGUAGAUAUCAGGAGGAAUACCGAUGGCGAAGGCAGGUCUCUGGGCUGACACUGACGCUCAUGCACGAAAGCGUGGGGAGCAAACAGG
rnacentral:rRNA from 1 species